UACGGAGGGUGCAAGCGUUGUCCGGAAUCACUGGGCGUAAAGCGUGCGCAGGCGGUUCGUUGUGUCGGCGGUGAAAGCCCCGGGCUUAACCUGGGAAUGGCCGUCGAAACUGGCGAACUGGAGUGUGGCAGAGGGGGGUGGAAUUCCGCGUGUAGCAGUGAAAUGCGUAGAUAUCAGGAGGAACACCGGUGGUGUAGACGGCUAUCUGGACCGUAACUGACGCUGAGACACGAAAGCGUGGGUAGCAAACAGG
rnacentral:rRNA from 1 species